rnacentral:rRNA from 1 species
AGUGAACGCUGGCGGUAGGCCUAACACAUGCAAGUCGAACGGCAGCACAGUAAGAGCUUGCUCUUACGGGUGGCGAGUGGCGGACGGGUGAGGAAUUCAUCGGAAUCUACUUUUUCGUGGGGGAUAACGUAGGGAAACUUACGCUAAUACCGCAUACGACCUACGGGUUAAAACAUGGGAUCUUCGGACCUUGCGCGAUUGAAUGAGCCGAUGUCGGAUUAGCUAGUUGGCGGGGUAAAGGCCCACCAAGGCGACGAUCCGUAGCUGGUCUGAGAGGAUGAUCAGCCACACUGGAACUGAGACACGGUCCAGACUCCUACGGGAGGCAGCAGUGGGGAAUAUUGGACAAUGGGCGCAAGCCUGAUCCAGCCAUACCGCGUGGGUGAAGAAGGCCUUCGGGUUGUAAAGCCCUUUUGUUGGGAAAGAAAAGCAGCAGGUUAAUACCCCGCUGUUCUGACGGUACCCAAAGAAUAAGCACCGGCUAACUUCGUG